rnacentral:rRNA from 1 species
GACGAACGCUGGCGGCGUGCUUAACACAUGCAAGUCGAACGGAAAGGCCCCUUUGGGGGUACUCGAGUGGCGAACGGGUGAGUAACACGUGAGUAACCUGCCCUUGACUUCGGGAUAACUUCAGGAAACUGGGGCUAAUACCGGAUAGGAAUCCUUGCUGCAUGGUGGGGGUUGGAAAGCUUCGGCGGUUUUGGAUGGACUCGCGGCUUAUCAGCUUGUUGGUGGGGUAGUGGCUUACCAAGGCUUUGACGGGUAGCCGGCCUGAGAGGGCGACCGGCCACAUUGGGACUGAGAGACGGCCCAGACGGCUACGGGAGGCAGCAGUGGGGAAUAUUGCACAAUGGGCGGAGGCCUGAUGCAGCAACGCCGCGUGCGGGAUGACGGCCUUCGGGUUGUAAACCGCUUUCAGCAGGGGCGAAGCUUGUGGUGACGGUACCUGCAGAAGAAGCACCGGCUAACUACGUG